rnacentral:rRNA from 1 species
CUUUGGUUCUAUUUUGUUGGUUUCUAGGACCGAAGUAAUGAUUAAUAGGGAUAGUUGGGGGCAUUAGUAUUUAAUUGUCAGAGGUGAAAUUCUUGGAUUUAUUAAAGACUAACUUCUGCGAAAGCAUUUGCCAAGGAUGUUUUCAUUAAUCAAGAACGAAAGUUAGGGGAUCGAAGACGAUCAGAUACCGUCGUAGUCUUAACCAUAAACUAUGCCGACUAGGGAUCAGGCAAGGAUAUUUUGACUUGUUUGGCACCUUAUGAGAAAUCAAAGUUUUUGGGUUCCGGGGGGAGUAUGGUCGCAAGGCUGAAACUUAAAGGAAUUGACGGAAGGGCACCACCAGGAGUGGAGCCUGCGGCUUAAUUUGACUCAACACGG